UGGCUCAGUUGGUAGAGCAGAGUACUUGCAAUGCUAGGGUUGUGGGUUCAAUUCCCAU
rnacentral:tRNA from 1 species